GACCCCGUAGCUCAGCUGGACUAGAGCAAGUGCCUUCUAAGCACUAGGUCGUUGGUUCGAAUCCAACCGGGGUCGCCA
rnacentral:tRNA from 1 species